CCUACGGGAGGCUGCAGUCGAGAAUCAUUCACAAUGGGGGAAACCCUGAUGGUGCGACGCCGCGUGGGGGAAUGAAGGUCUUCGGAUUGUAAACCCCUGUCAUGUGGGAGCAAAUUACAAAGAUAGUACCACAAGAGGCAGCGACGUCUAACUCUGUGCCAGCAGCCGCGGUAAUACAGAGGUCGCAAGCGUUGUUCGGAAUCACUGGGCGUAAGGCGUGCGUCGGCGGUUUCGUAAGUCGUGUGUGAAUGGCGCUGGCUCAACCCGCGUACGGCACAGGAUACUGCGAGACUAGAGUAAUGGAGGGGGAACCGGAAUUCUCGGUGUAGCAGUGAAAUGCGUAGAUA
rnacentral:rRNA from 1 species